ACUGCGCAUGAGCAGUAGCUGGAGCACUGGGAAGAUGGCGGAGGAAGGGGAAAGAAAAAAGAUCCCUUUGGUUCCAGAAAAUCUCCUGAAAAAGAGGAAGGCUUAUCAAGCGCUCAAAGCCACUCAGGCAAAGCAGGCUCUUUUGGCAAAGAGAGAGAGAAAAGGGAAAGAAUUCCGGUUUAGACGACUAGAAUCUUUCGUGCAUGAUUCCUGGCGGCAGCAACGAGACAAGGUGCGUGUCCGGCGACUAGAAGUGAAGCCGCGCGCUUUGGAGGUCCCUGAUAAACACUCCUUGGCCUUCGUUAUACGCAUGGAAAGGAUUCAAGGAGUGAGUUUAUUGGUAAAGAGCACCAUCAUGAAACUUGGCCUGAAGAAGUUGUUCAGUGGCGUCUUUGUCAAGGUCACCCCUCAGAGUAUGAGAAUGCUGCGCACAGUGGAGCCUUAUGUGACCUGGGGAUUUCCAAAUCUGAAGUCUGUCCGAGAACUCAUCUUGAAGCGUGGACAAGCAAAGAUUAACAAUAAGACUGUCCCUCUGACCGACAACACAGUGAUUGAGGAGCACUUGGGGCAGUUUGGUGUCAUUUGCCUGGAAGACCUCAUCCAUGAAAUUGCCUUCCCUGGGAAGCAUUUCCAGCAGAUCUCUUCAUUCUUGUGCCCUUUCCACCUCUCUGUGGCCCGUCAUGCUACCAAGAAUAGAGUGGGCUUCCUCAAGGAGAUGGGCUCGCCUGGCUACCGGGGUGACCGCAUCAACCAGCUCAUCCGGCAGCUCAACUAGAGCAGGAGCAGGUUUUCCAAAAGCAUGAAUUGGAAAUGCUUUUGUUUGUAUAAAAUUACCAAGUAUCUUCAGAGAAGAUUAUUUUCUGCCUUCAAAAACUGAAGGAAAGGGCCAGGAGAACCACAGUAGGGUGUGCGAGCAUCGAAGACAUUUAGCAGGGACCAGUUCAUGGAACAGGGCGAUUGUUCUCCAGUUGGCUGCCCGUCUCUGAGAUCCGCACAAGCUGUGGAGGAAAGAACUGCCCUGCCUUCCUUCCAUCUCGGUGUUUAAUGUUGGGUGAGCGACUAGCCCAAGUAUCCCUCCCACGCCCUCCAAGACUCUUAAAGCAGUGGGGCAGACCAAGGGGCACACUUGAAUCUGGAUGAAGAGGGUCUUGGUUUUACUUUUUAUUUUUGUCAGAGAUGGUUGGUUUGUUCAAUACAACGUCUUCCUGUGUGGCCCUGGCUAGCCUUAAACUCCACAGCAGCCCUGCCUCCGCCCCGCCCUGAAACCCACGCCCACCCCCAGCUGUUGGUGUAUAAGCCUGGGGGCUUGUUCCUCAGGCAGAAAGGCAACAAUGGUGGUGCUCAGUCUUAUGUGAGGCCAUGUUACAACCGCUUUGGGACCUCUGGGGCUUGCUGCCCUUGAUCAGUGUAACAGCAUUUGUACCCUGACCUGCAGUGACAGUCCUUUCCUGUAGCUCAGGAUUUAGAAAAACACAAGCAUAAAUCCAUACACUGUGCUUGGAACUCCACAACGGUGACACACACCCUCUUGGCACACGGAAGUCUUUUGUGAGGACAGCCUGUUUUUCUAUGCACAUUGGUCUGUGAAGUUAGUCUUGUUCUGUGCUACAGGAGGGGACUGAAGUUCAACCACUUGUUUUCAACUACGAAAUAGUGUUUAGCUGGGCCUGAUGGCACACACCUUUAGUCACAACACUUGAGAGGCAGAGGCAGGCAGAUCUCCUGAGUUCAAGGCCAGGCAAGCCUGUUCUACAGAGUUCCAGGAUACCCAGGGCUACACACAGAGAAAAUAUUAAAGACCAACAAAAACCAAUGAUAUGAAAGACUAUUGUUUUUAAACUUCCCAUACCCAGGAAACGCCCCCUAAACUUCGCCCUUGGCUUAAGGAUUCCCGUCUUGCCUUUCCUUAAAACCCACAUGAGUCCACAUUCCUAACACAUGCUUCCCUUGGGCUUGCCUAUAACCCUGACUUCAUGGGGCCUUGGGAUAUCAGUGGUAACUGUUGUAGGGCAUUGGGAAAUGAGGUGACCAAAAAUGCAUUGCAGUCUUGGAGAAAUGAGUCCUGGAUCUUACUAAGUUGGGGAGCACUGCAGUGUUGGUGGUGCUUGUCUGCUGUGUAAGAGCCCCUGGAUGAGCUGAGCCAAGUCUUCCAUUUCUAGUUGCUCAGAGUUUAAAGCAAGGGUUUUUUCUAUAUAGUAAAAGAUGAUUUUUAAAAUUUA
rnacentral:lncRNA from 1 species